AACCAGUACCGUGAGGGAAAGGUGAAAAGCACCCCGGAAGGGGAGUGAAAUAGAACCUGAAACCGUGUGCUUACAAGUAGUCAGAGCCCGUUAAUGGGUGAUGGCGUGCCUUUUGUAGAAUGAACCGGCGAGUUACGAUUUGAUGCAAGGUUAAGCAGUAAAUGUGGAGCCGUAGCGAAAGCGAGUCUGAAUAGGGCGUUUAGUAUUUGGUCGUAGACCCGAAACCAGGUGAUCUACCCUUGGUCAGGUUGAAGUUCAGGUAACACUGAAUGGAGGACCGAACCGACUUACGUUGAAAAGUGAGCGGAUGAACUGAGGGUAGCGGAGAAAUUCCAAUCGAACCUGGAGAUAGCUGGUUCUCUCCGAAAUAGCUUUAGGGCUAGCCUCAAGUGAUGAUUAUUGGAGGUAGAGCACUGUUUGGACGAGGGGCCCCUCUCGGGUUACCGAAUUCAGACAAACUCCGAAUGCCAAUUAAUUUAACUUGGGAGUCAGAACAUGGGUGAUAAGGUCCGUGUUCGAAAGGGAAACAGCCCAGACCACCAGCUAAGGUCCCAAAAUAUAUGUUAAGUGGAAAAGGAUGUGGCGUUGCCCAGACAACUAGGAUGUUGGCUUAGAAGCAGCCAUCAUUUAAAGAGUGCGUAAUAGCUCACUAGUCGAGUGACACUGCGCCGAAAAUGUACCGGGGCUAAACAUAUUACCGAAGCUGUGGAUUGUCCUUUGGACAAUGGUAGGAGAGCGUUCUAAGGGCGUUGAAGCAUGAUCGUAAGGACAUGUGGAGCGCUUAGAAGUGAGAAUGCCGGUGUGAGUAGCGAAAGACGGGUGAGAAUCCCGUCCACCGAUUGACUAAGGUUUCCAGAGGAAGGCUCGUCCGCUCUGGGUUAGUCGGGUCCUAAGCUGAGGCCGACAGGCGUAGGCGAUGGAUAACAGG
rnacentral:rRNA from 1 species